AACGAUGUUCUCAACUGUCACAAUUGUGCUGCUUGUGUCAUGCUGUGGCGCAGCGUUGAGUAGCUGGAUACCAUACGGGAACUCGUAUUCGCCAGAACAAGGCAAGGGCGGAUAUUGGAACUCAUAUUUGCCGAAAUAUGAGAGCUAUCGGCCGCAACAAUAUCCUAGUUAUCCAGGUUCUUAUUGGCCUGGACCAUGGGGUGGCUGGCAAGGGGAUAACGUCGGCUCGCAAAAGAAUUCCGUGGACGGUACAGGCAAUUACGUGGGAUGGCAAAAGAAUUAUGUGGAUUAAGUACAGAUGAAAUUGAACGAAAUAAAGAUCAAGUCAUGUAGAG